UGAACGCUGGCGGCGUGCUUAACACAUGCAAGUCGAUCGGUAACGCGGGGCAACCCUGGCGACGAGAGGCGGACGGGUGAGGAACGCUUGGGAAUCUGCCUAUCAGCGGGGGACAACCCGGGGAAACUCGGGCUAAUACCGCAUACGCUCUACGGAGGAAAGCCGGGGACCGCAAGGCCUGGCACUGAUAGAUGAGCCCAAGUCGGAUUAGCUAGUUGGCGGGGUAACGGCCCACCAAGGCGACGAUCCGUAGCUGGUCUGAGAGGACGAUCAGCCACACUGGGACCGAGACACGGUCCAGACUCCUACGGGAGGCAGCAGUGGGGAAUAUUGGACAAUGGGCGCAAGCCUGAUCCAGCCAUGCCGCGUGUGUGAAGAAGGCCUCGGUUGUAAGCGACUUUGUUGGUAAGAAAGACGGUACGGCGUAUACCGGUCGUUCGUGACGGUACCGAACGAACUAAGACACCGGCUAACGUUCGUGUCCAGCAGCCGCGGUAACGUCU
rnacentral:rRNA from 1 species